rnacentral:rRNA from 1 species
UACGAAGGUGGCAAGCGUUACUCGGAAUUACUAGGCGUAAAGGGCAGGUAGGUGGUUUGGUUAGUCUGUUGUGAAAGCUCCUUGCUUAACGGGAGAGGCCAACAGAUACUGCCAGACUUGAGUAUAGGAGAGGGUACUGGAAUUCCCGGUGUAGCGGUGAAAUGCGCAGAGAUCGGGAGGAACACCAAUGGCGAAAGCAGGUACCUGGACUAUUACUGACACUCAGCUGCGAAAGCUAGGGGAGCAAACAGGG